AAAAUGUUGCACAAUCACGAAUCUCAACUAUUGUGGCCGAUAUAUAAGAUGUGCACGACUACUGGCACUCAGAUCUCUUCAUAGCCCUGCUACUUAAAUCUCUAUUACAAAAAGACAGACUGUAAUACAGUUUAAAGAUGAAGUGUGCCUGGAUGUUUCUUGUAUUGUCCAUGGUUGUUAUGAUGGCUCAACCUGGAGAGGGAUUUUUUGGGCUGCUCAUUCAUGGAAUCACUCAUGCAGUUCAUGGUAUAAAGAAGCUCAUCGAUGGGAAAGAGAACCUUGCAGAGCAGCAAGCAGAAGAGCAGCUAUUCAAGCGGUUGUUUGAGGACAAGGCUGCACGGCGCCGUUUUGAUUAGACCAUUUAGCAAAUCUUGCUUUAAUUUUAAAAGAUAUGAGCUUCAUUGAUAAUGUUUUACUUAAGACUUUGAUUUCCUGAAUCAUAAAGUGUCUUUUGAGAUUAAAUCACUAUCACUCACUGUGGUUACUGUUUGUUUGGCUGUUUCAAAAAUAUCCUUUAUAAUAAAAUUUUUGGCGCUUCCA